AUUGAACGCUGGCGGCGUGCUUUACACAUGCAAGUCGAACGGCAUCACGAGUGCUUGCACUUGGUGGCGAGUGGCGAACGGGUGAGUAAUACAUCGAAACGUACCGUAUAGAGGGGGAUAACCAAUCGAAAGAUUGGCUAAUACCGCAUAAUCUCUGAGGAGGAAAGGUGGGGACCUGAGAGGGCCUAUCGCUGUAUGAGCGGUCGAUGGUUGAUUAGCUAGUUGGUGGGGUAAAGGCUUACCAAGGCGAUGAUCGAUAGCUGUUCUGAGAGGAAGAUCAGCCACACUGGGACUGAGACACGGCCCAGACUCCUACGGGAGGCAGCAGUGGGGAAUAUUGGACAAUGGGGGGAACCCUGAUCCAGCAACGCCGCGUGAAUGAAGAAGGCCUUCGGGUUGUAAAGUUCUUUUGUUAGGGAAGAAAUCUUCUAGGCUAAUACCCUGGGAGGAUGACGGUACCUAAAGAAUAAGCACCGGCUAACUACGUGCCAGCCGCCGCAGUAA
rnacentral:rRNA from 1 species